rnacentral:rRNA from 1 species
AAUAGAUACCCUGGUAGUCCACGCCGUAAACGUUGGGCGCUAGAUGUGGGGACCAUUCCACGGUUUCCGCGUCGUAGCUAACGCAUUAAGCGCCCCGCCUGGGGAGUACGGCCGCAAGGCUAAAACUCAAAGGAAUUGACGGGGGCCCGCACAAGCGGCGGAGCAUGCGGAUUAAUUCGAUGCAACGCGAAGAACCUUACCAAGGCUUGACAUAUGCGAGAACGCUCUAGAAAUAGAGAACUCUUUGGACACUCGUAUACAGGUGGUGCAUGGUUGUCGUCAGCUCGUGUCGUGAGAUGUUGGGUUAAGUCCCGCAACGAGCGCAACCCUCGUCGCAUGUUGCCAGCACGUAAUGGUGGGAACUCAUGUGAGACUGCCGGGGUCAACUCGGAGGAAGGUGGGGAUGACGUCAAAUCAUCAUGCCCCUUAUGUCUUGGGCUUCACGCAUGCUACAAUGGCCGGUACAAAGGGCUGCGAAACCGCAAGGUGGAGCGAAUCCCAAAAAGCCGGUCUCAGUUCGGAUUG